GUGGGGAAUCUUGCGCAAUGGGGGGAACCCUGACGCAGCGACGCCGCGUGCGGGACGGAGGCCUUCGGGUCGUUAUCCGCUUUCAGCAGGGAAGAGUCAAGACUGUACCUGCAGAAGAAGCCCCGGCUAACUACGUGCCAGCAGCCGCGGUAAUACGUAGGGGGCGAGCGUUAUCCGGAUUCAUUGGGCGUAAAGCGCGCGUAGGCGGCCCGGCAGGCCGGGGGUCGAAGCGGGGGGCUCAACCCCCCGAAGCCCCCGGAACCUCCGCGGCUUGGGUCCGGUAGGGGAGGGUGGAACACCCGGUGUAGCGGUGGAAUGCGCAGAUAUCGGGUGGAACACCGGUGGCGAAGGCGGCCCUCUGGGCCGAGACCGACGCUGAGGCGCGAAAGCUGGGGGAGCGAAAAGGAUUAGAUCCCCUGGUAGUCCCAGCCGUAUACGAAGGACGUAUGGUGUGGGGGGACGAUCCCCCCGUGCCGCAGCCCAACGCAUUAAGCGUUCCCGCCUGGGGAGUACGGCCGCAAGGCUAAAACUCAAAGGAAUUGACGGGGGCCCGCACAAGCAGCGGAGCAUGUGGCUUAAUUCGAAGCAACGCGAAGAACCUUACCAGGGCUUGACAUAUGGGUGAAGCGGGGGAGACCCCGUGGCCGAGAGGAGCCCAUACAGGUGGUGCAUGGCUGUCGUCAGCUCGUGUCGUGAGAUGUUGGGUUAAGUCCCGCAACGAGCGCAACCCCCGCCGCGUGUUGCCAUCGGGUGAUGCCGGGAACCCACGCGGGACCGCCGCCGUCAAGGCGGAGGAGGGCGGGGACGACGUCAAGUCAUCAUGCCCCUUAUGCCCUGGGCUGCACACGUGCUACAAUGGCCGGUACAGAGGGAUGCCACCCCGCGAGGGGGAGCGGAUCCCGGAAAGCCGGCCCCAGUUCGGAUUGGGGGCUGCAACCCGCCCCCAUGAAGUCGGAGUUGCUGGUAAUCGCGGAUCAGCAUGCCGCGGUGAAUGCGUUCCCGGGCCUUGUACU
rnacentral:rRNA from 1 species